UGUUGUGACCGGAAUAGCGUAUCGAAUAACACCAGCGGAAAAUUACGGUGGCUAUAUUUUCAAAACAGGUUUAAAGUAUGGAUUAAAUGGCUUAUAGCCAUAACUCUUAAACGCUGUCAAUCAAUCAGUUUAUAGUUGAAUACGAAAACUGAAUGAUCUAAUAUAGAAUUUAGGCCUGUUUACUCAAAAACAAAGUCAAAAAGUCAUGGGCAAUUUCUGUUCAGGGGACGUGGUAAUUCAAUCAUGUGAAAUCGGGGACACAUGAGAAAACCAGUUGAAAACCGUUGUGUUAGAUUGUAUCGUUUUGUUUUUUGUAUUGUACUGUAUUGUUUGUUUUUGGGGGGUUUUUUUGUUUGUUUUUUUUUGUGUUUUUGUUUUGUAUUGUAUUGUAUUGUAUGGUAUAUAUAAGGAAGAAAAUUUUGUAAACGAAUAUGAUUGGCCGGCACAAAUUUUCCGUCGGAAAAAAAUUUUGAGUGGAAAUGGGCCUUUUGCUCCCACAACUCUGAAGAGAUUCGAUCAUUCGGAAAUUGACAUCUGGGCAUGCGUAGAUUGUACAUGCUGACAUAUAAUGAAUACUAAUGAGGCGAACUGCUAAAUUACAUCGAGA